rnacentral:rRNA from 1 species
AUGACGUCAGCGUCAACCGUGAGCGCGACGAUGGGGGUAAUGAACCCGCUCCUCAGCAAGCUCGCCACGCUGAUGGGGGACCAGUACAGGAAGCUCAAGGGGGUGAGGAAGCAGGCGUCGUUCCUCAUGCGUGAGCUCGGCGCCAUGAGAGCUGCCCUCGAGAAGCUGGAGCUCAUGGAGGUACUCGAUCCGCUGGCCAAGAACUGGAGAGAUCAUGUCAGAGAGAUGUCCUACGACAUGGAGAAUUGUAUCGAUGAUUUCAUGCGCCAAUUCGGAGGUGCCGAUGCUAAGGCCGGCCUCAUCAAGAAAACAGCUCAACGUCUCAAGACGUUGAGGGAGCGUCAUCGCAUUGCUGAGCAGAUGGAGGAGCUCAAGGCUCUUGCUCUGGAGGCAAAUGAACGACGCAUGAGGUACAAGAUUGACGAUUGUGUUGAUUAUAGCUCCACUGUUGUGCCUGUCGAUCCCCGAAUAUCUGCAAUCUACAAGGAGGCUGCAGGCCUUGUGGGUAUUGAUGGCCCCAGAGAAGAGCUUGUCAGUUGGUUGAUUGAUGCUGAGAAAAAACUCAAGGUAGUGUCCGUUGUAGGGUUCGGCGGCCUUGGUAAAACUACACUUGCCAAGCAAGUGUACAAUAAGAUUGGUGGGCAAUUUGAGCGUAAGGCAUUUGUUUCAGUUUCCCAAAGGCCUGAUAUGACAAGCCUUCUAUGUGGCCUGCAACUAAAGCUCGGAAUGGAGGAGUCUUCUCACAUUCAUGAGGUGCAAGACAUAAUCGACCGUGUUAGAGAACAUCUCAUGCAUAAGAGGUACCUUAUUGUAGUCGAUGACUUGUGGGAUCAGUCGGCAUGGAAUAUUAUUAGUUGUGCCUUUCCUGAAGAUGGUAAUGGAAGUAGAGUAAUCGUAACCACACGACUGGGUGAUGUGGCUUUCCGUGCGUGUCUCCAUGACCGUGAGUGCAUUUACCAAAUGAAUCCCCUCCAAGAGCAAGACUCAAGAAGUUUAUUCUAUAAUAGAGUAUUUGGGUCUGAAGAUGGCUGUCCACCACAAUUUAAAGAAGUUUCAGCUGAAAUUUUGAAGAAGUGUGGUGGACUGCCGCUUGCAAUCAUCACUAUUGCUAGCUUAUUAGCUAGUCGUCAAGCAAGAUCAAGGAGUGAGUGGGAGAGCAUAAGGGAUUCACUGAGCGCCAAGUUUGCCACAAAGCCCACCUUGGAAGAGAUGAGGAGUAUAUUAAACCUGAGCUACAUGCAUCUUCCUCUUUAUCUCCGUGCAUGUUUUUUGUACCUUGGUAUGUAUCCAGAGGACCGUAAGAUUAGCAAGGUUGAUCUGGUCCGACAAUGGGUGGCUGAAGGGCUUGUCAGUAAUUUACAUGGAUCAAAUUUGGAGGAUGCUGCAAAGAGUUACUUCCAUGAGCUUAUCAAUAGGGGCAUGAUUCAGCCUGAAGAUACCAUAUGUGGGGAGGUGUUGUCAUGUAGUAUUCAUGAUAUGAUGCUUGAUCUGAUCUUAAGCAAGUGUGGGGAAGAUAAUUUUAUCUGUGUGGCAUAUGACUACAAAGACAUGGCACAACGUGAUGCCUGCAACUACAGGGUCCGUCGACUAUCUCUGAAAUUAAGUGCUGGUAGCGCAACAUCGGGGACCAUUGCUACUAGCUUAACACAAAUUCGAUCAUUUGCAUGGUUUGGCGAGUCCAAGUACACACCUCCUCUCUCGGAGUUUAAGUAUCUACGUGUGCUUCUCUUUGAAUUUCCAGAUUACCGGGAGAUGGUAGUCGACCUCACUGCUGCUGGCCAGUUGUUUCAACUUAGGUAUUUGAAGGUUUCAGCAGCAUCAGGCAGCAUAGAGCUUCCUACUGAAAUCCAUGGGCUUGUUCAUUUGGAGACAAUUGAUAUAGAUUGCCGAACAGCACAAAACAUCCCGUCAGAUAUAGUCAUGUUGCACCGCUUGUCCCAUUUGAUUCUUCCGCGUGAUACAGGACUCCCAAAUGGGAUUGGGAACAUGAAAUCGCUACGUACUCUACGUUGUUAUUGCAUGGGCAAGAGCUCAUUGGAUGAUAUUGAGGGCCUCGGCGAGCUCACUAAUCUGAGGGAACUGACACUCACUAAGUCCUACAAGUUUGAUAUGCUGAAGGCAGGGGUUGAUGCCUUGGUCUCCUCCAUUGGAAAGCUCUGUGACCUCAAAUUUCUCUACCUUGCCUGCAAUCUUCAACAUUAUGUCGACCUGCUGGACUCAAUAUCUGAUCCUCCCCUCCGUAUGGAGAAUCUACGUCUGGGAGGAUGGCCAUUCUACAAGGUUCCAAAAUGGAUUGGUGAUCUUCAUUGCCUCCAUAGACUGUCUCUGUGUGUUGAGCGGUUGCGGACUGACGGUGUUCAUGUUCUUGGGCAGCUGCCAUCCCUCGUGUAUCUCAGUCUCAAGGUCUUGUGUAUUCCUCAAGACAGUGCUGUCAUAAUCUGUACAGGAUCAUUCCCAGUUCUGGAGUGUCUUGCUCUCAGGUCUCGUGAUGAUGAUGCAACGGCAUGCAUGGGGUUUGAGGCAGGGGCUAUGCCCAAGCUUCGAAGGCUCGUUCUAGGAGUACAUGAUAGGUGGAGUGGUGGCAGUGCUAUACCAGUGGGUAUGGUGCACCUCUUAUCCCUCGAGCAAAUCCAUGUAGAUAACAUGUCAUCCGUCCAUGACGACCGUGAUGUCGAGUUUGCCUUCAGGAACGCCGCACAGGGAGCAUGGACCAUUGCAUUGAAGCAUUGGAGAACGGGAGCAGCUAGGAAUUGGUCGUCCGCGACGGCGACCUCACCCAACCGGUUUGUCUCCGGCUGUCGUUGCCCUUCCAGAUGA